GAUGUACGCUGGCGGCGUGCCUAAUACAUGCAAGUAGAACGCUGAAGGAAGGAGCUUGCUCUUUCCGGAUGAGUUGCGAACGGGUGAGUAACGCGUAGGUAACCUGCCUGGUAGCGGGGGAUAACUAUUGGAAACGAUAGCUAAUACCGCAUAACAGUAGAUGUUGCAUGAUAUCUACUUAAAAGGUGCAAUUGCACCACUACCAGAUGGACCUGCGUUGUAUUAGCUAGUUGGUGAGGUAACGGCUCACCAAGGCGACGAUACAUAGCCGACCUGAGAGGGUGAUCGGCCACACUGGGACUGAGACACGGCCCAGACUCCUACGGGAGGCAGCAGUAGGGAAUCUUCGGCAAUGGACGGAAGUCUGACCGAGCAACGCCGCGUGAGUGAAGAAGGUUUUCGGAUCGUAAAGCUCUGUUGUAAGAGAAGAACGAGUGUGAGAGUGGAAAGUUCACACUGUGACGGUAUCUUACCAGAAAGGGACGGCUAACUACGUG
rnacentral:rRNA from 1 species